rfam:Clostridium disporicum strain 2789STDY5834856 genome assembly, contig: SCcontig000007
ACUUGUUGUAGAGGCCGCGAUUGUCAUCAGUACUAUAACAGAAAGUUCAAAUCUGAGAUUUGAUAACUUCAAUGUAUAGGAAAGGGGCCAUCGCCGAAAUAAAUAGAUAAGAGUCUAUUUAUUGGGUCUAUGUUUAAGAAGCAUAGAACUGUCUUAUGAGAAUUGCCCAAUUUUCAUAAAGAAGAGCUACAUCUUGU